GUCAGAAAGAGCAUACACACACCACUCCAAAGUACAUAACACAUACUCCAGAAUAGAUGGGUGUUUCAUGCACGAAUCCACUAUGGCCAAAAUUCUAGACUGCGACAUUAUGCCCGUAGACUGGUCAGACCAUGCACCACUGACACUAGCGCUGGCGAAUUCAUACGAAUAUAAACACAAAAGCCCAUGGCGCCUUAAUGUAAACCUGC